GAUGAACGCUGGCGGCGUGCCUAAUACAUGCAAGUCGAGCGAACAGACGAGGAGCUUGCUCCUUUGACGUUAGCGGCGGACGGGUGAGUAACACGUGGAUAACCUACCUAUAAGACUGGGAUAACUUCGGGAAACCGGAGCUAAUACCGGAUAACAUGUUGAACCGCAUGGUUCAACAGUGAAAGACGGUUUUGCUGUCACUUAUAGAUGGAUCCGCGCCGCAUUAGCUAGUUGGUAAGGUAACGGCUUACCAAGGCAACGAUGCGUAGCCGACCUGAGAGGGUGAUCGGCCACACUGGAACUGAGACACGGUCCAGACUCCUACGGGAGGCAGCAGUAGGGAAUCUUCCGCAAUGGGCGAAAGCCUGACGGAGCAACGCCGCGUGAGUGAAGAAGGUCUUCGGAUCGUAAAACUCUGUUAUUAGGGAAGAACAAAUGUGUAAGUAACUAUGCACGUCUUGACGGCACCUAAUCAGAAAGCCACGGCUAACUACGUG
rnacentral:rRNA from 1 species